GGCUUUUCUAGACUGCAGAGGGCGUUGGCUCGAGGGGUGCUUCACCCGACGUAGAGUCGGAAUUCAUCAUCAUGAUACGAUCAGAAAGUCUGCGGAUGCAGGCUUGUCUUCGCUGCACGGCACGCUGGAGAAACUUGGUUGUUAGGAUGAAUUCUGGGAGCCGCCUCUCUCCUUCGUGCUCCUGCAAGGAAUGCGUUGUUGUUGGUUGGCAAUGCGGGUUUGUGGUUGACACCCACCCACAGUGGGUAGGCGCAGAAAGCGCACUGUGCCCGUGUACGCAUCCGCUUCGCUGGACCUGCUGCCUAGAAGGUAGCAUGUGAGUUUGUUCGCCACUCAUGAGCGCUGAGACUCGGUUAGCGGACCAUCAGUUGCCAGUGCUACACUCAAAGUGAUUGUCCGGCCUUCGCCUAUCACGGUGAUGCCCAGCUGCUGGUGUCCUUCAAGCAGCUCGCUGCGCUCCUGCUUCCAGCGCGGGCACUGUAAGCCUAACUAUGUCAGCGUGUCGGGGAUCUCGUUUCCACAGCAGGGACAGUGUGAUUCCCAGAGUGAUUCCAGUGUUCCUAUGCGGCUUAGAGCCGGUGCUGCUAGUCAGAAGCCACCAACGCGGAUUUUCGCGAGCCACUGAGUACCUCGAGCAAGUCCCGGGAAUUCCAGCGCCUCCCACCAGUACUUGCAUGUGUAUGCGAGGUUGUAGUUCCGGUAUAGAGUCAAGCCAGCGUCUCGACGCUUGCGCUUAUCCGCGUCUGCUGUAGACCACGGAUGCGAUUUCUGGACACAAAAUUAUGGCUUGGAGGCAAGUGCUCUAGCUUUGGACAUGGCUAUGUACGCACAGACGCCGCCCCUUGUCAUGAAUUGCAGGAUUCUUUGUGUUCCGGGUAAGCGCGAUCCUCACCAUAACGUACCGGUCACUCCACUCCCGGGUUCAGCGGUAUCUGCAAUGACGCGGAUACCGGGACAGCACGCUGCACAACAAUGCGACGCAUCGCUGUUGGUAUCUGUCGACAGCCAGUGCUGCGCAUGCACUACUUGUAUGAGCGCUCGCAAAAUGAAAGCCACCCCCUGCGUCAGCCGGAUACGGCCACGGGAUGUACUGUUUAGGAAAAGAGGUCGUUCGUAUCCGGUUAUGGUUCUCCAUCCGAUCUGGGUCGCGAUCGCAGCUUCCAGAAUUCCGCGCCCUACAAAGCUAUGAUGUCCUGGAAUCGCUGGAAUGAAUUUCGUCAAUUGGCUCCACAGCACAAAACCAAUCGUUUUUUUCAGCAUCCCGCAGCACGAUCGAACCAUUCGAAGAUACCGUACAGAUACACCUGUCUGGUGCCGAACGUGUCCGAGACGUUACGCCUCAGACCAGUGCGUAGAGUACUGUGAGGUUUUCGAGUGCGGCCCUCAUGCCUGGCGGGAUCGACUCAUGAUGCGAGACGUCAGAAUACGUCCAUACCGAACUCAGCACUGACAGCGUGAUCAGCAGCGCGACCCAGAAGCGCCAAUCACGAGAAACCUCUCUCCAGGUAGGUGUUCUCGCUCUAAACUGCGACCAUAGUUGGCGCACUCGGGCAGAGCUGCGUGUCCAGACGGUUGGCGCCGGCCGUUCCCGGGGCAGCUGGCUCCAGUCGAUUUUUCCCUCACUCACGAACGCCUUCCAUUCUUCGUUCCAGUCGAUCAAGCUUUUUGGUACUUGAUGUUGUGGAUUGCGCUGUGGUAUGCUUCCGCCGGUAUUGCCGGUUUUAUCGGCAGGCGCACCGCCUGCGUUCGAGUUGUCCUCGGACUCGUGCCGCGCUCUAUCCGGCUGUCCAGCCAGGCACGUGAGCAGUCGUCUUCGUUCUUGCACACCGUGACAGGCGACUCUGCGGGGCAACGCAAAGCGUGCUCCAGACGUUGAGCGAGUAGCGCUGCGGUUGCGGGCCCGCUGCGCCAGCGCAGGCGCUGGUGGUGAAGGGCGCGCGACCAGGAACCGCACGCUCGAGCUCGCUCCCGUCGUAAACGCAACCGAGCGC
rnacentral:misc_RNA from 1 species